rnacentral:rRNA from 1 species
CCUACGGGGGGCAGCAGUGGGGAAUAUUGGACAAUGGGGGGAACCCUGAUCCAGCCAUGCCGCGUGUGUGAAGAAGGCCCUCGGGUUGUAAAGCACUUUCAGUGAGGAAGAACGCCUGGUGGUUAAUACCCAUCAGGAAAGACAUCACUCACAGAAGAAGCACCGGCUAACUCCGUGCCAGCAGCCGCGGUAAUACGGAGGGUGCGAGCGUUAAUCGGAAUUACUGGGCGUAAAGCGCGCGUAGGUGGCUUGAUAAGCCGGUUGUGAAAGCCCCGGGCUCAACCUGGGAACGGCAUCCGGAACUGUCAAGCUAGAGUGCAGGAGAGGAAGGUAGAAUUCCCGGUGUAGCGGUGAAAUGCGUAGAGAUCGGGAGGAAUACCAGUGGCGAAGGCGGCAUUCUGGACUGACACUGACACUGAGGUGCGAAAGCGUGGGUAGCAAACAGGAUUAGAUACCCUGGUAGUC